CCGAUGCCGGACGCAGCCGUGGCCCCGCGGGCCGGCCGGAGCAGAUGGUGAGCUCAUUGCUGAGCUCUGCGACCCUCGCAGCUGAAGCCUAAAGGUGCUGAGAUGCUUCUGGGCCAGAGCUGCGUGCUGAUGCCAGGCUCCUCUGGAGAGCAGAGAGGCUGCCGCCGUGGUCAGCGGUGAGAUGGAGCUGAUUGUGUGCUGCAGGAGGCCGGCUACAAUCAAUGGGCGGUUUUGUGUUUGCCCGAUGCUGUCUUUUGAUUUCUCAGGAGCCGAUUGCAGACUGGUGUGAAGUGAGAGAUGCUGAAGCAUAUUCCUUGCCCUCUGCUUUCCUGCUUGCCUGGCCUUCACCUUCCCAGUGCCCUAUUUGCUAAGAUGUCAGUGGAAACGCUCUGCUCAAAGCUUUGCAUUUAUCCAGGUUUGGGUUUCCCAACCCGCUGCCUUACAGCCACCGCCAGGCUCGGUGUUCCUGAGCCUCCCAUGUGUGGGGGCUGGAGCUGUUUGCCCUUUGGUACACGCCGAGCACAUUGAUGCUGUUUAACCAUAUAUUAUCCCAAGCGUUGUAUAAUGAGGCGGUUCGAUUUGUGUAAGACUCUGCGGUGGUGUAAUACAGAACAAUUACACAUCAUCACGUCUAAAGAGCCUUACAACUACUGCUCUGUCUCGGGAGGUGCUUUGUGCGUGUUGAUUUCCAAAGUGGUGUGGGCAGGAGGAGCGGUGCCUGACCCUGGAGCAUUCGUGGGAGGGCUGGUGCUUUAAGCUGUAAUGUAUGGGUGUGACAUCACGCGGCCGAUAAGCUGUGAUGGGAUCUGCCAUGUCAGUGAUGCCCUUUGUUUAUGUGCGUGCGGUUGCUUGUUUUGAAAAUCCAUGCUUAUCGUUUCCUUCCCCGCCUGCGCGAUAGCCGUGAAUAAGGCAGGACAGGACGAAUGCUAAUUGCACGGAGUUGUUUUCUGGCUGAAAACGUUUUGCUUUAGCUCACUCUAGCAGCUUGGGCCAGGUGUGAAGUUAUGAUGUGGCAUCUGCACGCUGCCACGCAUCUCAUGCUGCAGCCAGGUGCUCGUGUUUUCUCCUUCCACUCUAGUUUCUGAAGAAGCAGAGUGCUGAAGUGAGCGAUUUCGGCUAAUCCAUCCUGGAGACGGCAGCUUGGUUAUUUAAGGCUGCUGUAGUUUGUUAUGCAAUCAGAUUAACAAAGGUUGAAAUGAUCAUUCAACUUUGGGUAAACAAACGAUAUUUAUAACAUCAUGGAUUAGAGUGAUUGCUUACAUCGGAGAGAUGUGCUGUGGUGAGCACACAGCAGGUAUUUGACAGAACGCAAGGGAUGGAUGUGGUGAUGGAGUAAAUAGGUUUUGGUAAACUUCUCAGUAUUAGACAAGCACUGGACGUGUGUUAUGUAUUUCAGGAGCUCUUGCGGUGUGCUAGAUGAAGCACAUGUGCAUGGGAAAAGUCCUUACAGCUUCGCUUAGCUGGUAAGCAGAGGCCGCCACGAUGCUCAGCCCAUGGUGCCUGGGGUGCUCAUGUGGCACAGGCUGAAGAUGACCAAUGCUUGGCUGGAAGCUUUCUGAGUAAGAAAAACAACAUUGCAAAUGCAUUUGCAGAAGCUGGCAGCCCCUCAAGCUGCCCAUUUUAAGUUGGCUGUCCUCUCCUGUUGUUCCUGUGGAAGAGGCGUUGCUGCAGGAGGGAUCUGUGGGCUUUUCUCCCCAGAUCUGCUCAGAGAGGAGGCAGCACCACCGGUGCGGCAGAGCUGAGAUGGGAGCUGGUAGAAAAAGGGGAAGGUGGGAGGCUGUGUGGUGAGGAAGUGACUCUGAGACAAGGAGCAGAGGGAGGUGUGCAGUAUGCGUGUGGAGCCUUGCUGGGGAUCUGUGGUGGAGCUCACAGUGCAGCCAUCUCAUGCGGGCUCUGGGACCGUGGAAGCGGACCUUGCUCUAAAAAUACCCUGGUGUGCCAUAUGCCUACUGUUGUUACAGUGUGUGAUGGCAUCAAGCCACAGGGGGAGCAGGGAAUGACUGACUUCUGCCAGCCAGUAUUCUGGAGGCCUUUGUGUAGGUGUGGAGCCCGAGCACUUCCAACCUCCUCUGGCUCAGGGAGCAGUAAGGCACCCUCCUGGAUGCUGCUUUUCCAUCCUUCGGCAGAUGGUAGAGCAGCACUGUGUUUGGAUACACAUCCAAAAAUAUUCUGGAAAGGGUUUUUUUGUUUGUUUGUUUUAAUUAUUGAUACUUAUUUCCUCGCUGCCUGUGUUUAAGCAGGCAUCUAAUUGCAAUGGGAUUUCACAGGCGCUUGCAAAUGUGUAUUACUGUGCUGCUGGCUUAUCUCUGUGCUGUAUAACAGAUUUGCAGCUAAAUGUACACAAGCACACUUUGGGUGUGCUGCAGUCUGGGAAGGUACUUUGGGGAGGAGGUGAUGCUGUUCAGGCUGUGUAACUUAGGAUGCUCAGGGAGGAGGUGGUGUGUAAUGUGAGAUGGCCUUAAAGUGACUGAUUGCAUUUCUUCUACUUGUGCUAGUCUGCUCCCACUCCAGUUUAUUAACAGGUUGGUGUCUUCUUCAGUUCUGUGCUUUGAAGGAGGGCAGUUGCUCUUGAUGUGCCCAGAGCUCUGUUCAGCUCAGUAUUUCUUCUCUGAUGGGACACUUACAGGGUUAGGGGCAAACCACCACUACAGAGCAUCCCCUGUCCUGGCAAGACCUCAGCAGUCUUGGUUCUGGAGGUCCUUGUGCUGGCUGUUGUGUGGGCCAUCUUCUCUGCCAUUGCCAAAUUUGUUUAGAAAUCCCUUAUGGCAUAGUAUUAACGGCAUCCUGUGUUGGUGAACUUCCAGUAUAACUGCACUCUGAAUUUUAUUUCUAUUUUUUUUUCAUUUGCUUGGAGGUCUUGUGAUUUUUAUCUGAGUUCUGGAAGAUUACUUUCCAGAUUUUUCAGUGGGCAAGUACUGUUUGGGGAUGCUGAAUGAGCCUUAGAAUGCAUAUAGAGACAACUACAGUAUGUGAAUUCACAGGCUGUGAAUUGAUCUACAGUAAUUGUGCUGUGGUUCAGGUGUCUGUGUGGGUCAUAGUGGUAAUAGCUGGUACUUUCGGGGCAUGGAAGAAGCCUUCCUAAGGUUUAUUCAUUCAUUCUUUAUUGUUCUGGCAGUUUCUGACAUCCUGUUGAUUAGAAUGAGUGGAACUUCCAUUUUUUAAAGAGAAUGGAAAGUGUGUAUCAUCCCUUUCAACAGCCAUUGCCCCUUUAAGCCAUUUAUGAUUGAAGUGGGGGUAAUUUCAGCUUGCUGGUUUGUGAGUGGGAUAAGAGUAGAAUGACCAGACAAACGCUCUGUUUUAAAAAUAGAGACACUUACAUAAUGAUGCUACAGAAAAUAGCCAGGAACGCAUAUGGACAAGAUCUUUGCUACAGAGGAUUAAUCCAGCAGCAUCUCCUGCACGCGAGUCUGCUGUACCUUGCUUCAAAGGGAGACUCAGGGAAACCAUCCUUUCUGCCUGGCCCUGUUGUGGAGCACUGCUUGUGCUUGGAGCUGCUUUUGCAGUUUCUCUCAGUGUGUGGUUUGUGCUCUAGGUGCUUCCAAGAGUGGAAUUUAGGGACUAUUGCUAAUGAAAAUUCAGGCCUGGUGAGCACGUCUGGAAGAGCAUUGGGAUCACAUCAGGGUUUUUCCUCUUGUUGUAAAAGGCCUCUUUUUUUUUUUUCUGUCUCUCUAACAGAAAGCAACAGAUGUUCUCUUUUCCCAGCAUUGACGGGUAAAAAGCAAGUUCACUUCAAAUGCAUAUUUAAUAGGAAGAAUACUGCAGGAUCUAUAUAUACCAGGUGGGCAUUUUCCCAGAAGGGUGUGUUGGGCAUUGAGGGCUAUAACUAUGUUGUUUCUAACCAAAAUUCUAGCCCUGAACUAUAAAUACCAUCGCCUCACCCUCUGACUCCAUGAAAUGAGACGUAGCUGGAACCCGGUCGUACGUCAGGACAUGAAAGGACCUUGGUGAACUUGUGCUUUCAUAAUAAACAAGGAGAAGUUUAUCCAAGUUGCCCAAUGUAUGAGUUUGCCCGCAUAAAGACAGCUUUUCAUUCAGCGCAGGGGAGGGACUUACCUGUUAGAUCUUUCUCCUUCCUAUUUUUAUCUCAUCUCUUUCCAAGUUGUUCUUAAUAAAAGCAGGACAACCUUAAAGUAAUUGUGGAUUUCACAAACAGACCUCUGUGUUCUAGACUUCUAGAUUAGAUUAGCGAAGCCUGUGCCGUUUGGGAUGCUGGGAUUCUCUCUUCUGUCCAUACGCAGCUUGCACCCUGCUGCUUAAUUUUGCCUGCAGGUCUGCUCGUCUCAGCUGUGUCUUCACGUGAAGGCAGCCGAUGCGCACUGAGCAUGCUGAUGAAAUGCAGGAGCUGGGGGCUCUGCUGCAGAUGGGUUUGCUCAGCCCUGCCUCUGGAAGCCACCCCCAGCAGCAGCAGGAUGCUCCGAGGCAGGAGUAGAUGGCGUUUGAAGCUGUGGCUGGGCUUCUGCUCGUGGGCAGGCACGUGCUGCUGAAGGACAGGGUCUGCUCUCUUCUUCCAGUGCUGUUACGCUUGUUAGGAAUCUGAAAGAGCAGAACUGCGGCUGUUGAAUAAGCCAGACCCGAUCCAGGGGAGCAGAUCUGGCUGCUUUCCCCUUCACCUACCUCCAAAGUGUGCAAAGGAGGAACUCGUAUGAGUAUUUUGGGGAUUUGUUAUGUUUGUGGGCAAAAGAAAAGGCAGCCAGGGUUUUCUAAUAUUGUCUCUGUUGUUUUUUCCACUCGGGGUUCUUAAGCAGUUAGUUUUUUCCUUAUGAUGUAUGUUUUUUCAGUUGCUGCCUGGUUGUCAAACGUGGGACCGUCUAUCACGUAAAGGUGGCUGGCCUGUGUUACUGCAAUGAAAAUCCAAACGUCCCGAUGAUAAUUUCUGUUGGUUUUCCUCUCUCAGAAAUAAAAAGAAACCUUAUUCUUUCUACUUCAGUCGUGUUAGAUAAGGUAUGUCUUUGAGAUUAAAAAUCCCUGAUGCUGGUGGGAGGAAGGAGGGCAUUUCUUUUGUCUGAAACGUUACAGCAGAGGAUACUAAUUAAAAACAAACAAAUUGGGUUUGGGGAGAGCCUUCCUUUGCCCUCGCAGUGAAAACGGUUUGUUUGGAGGAGCUGCAAGAACGACACCCGCAGGCGUUCGAACAGAGAUAAAUCAGCUCCUGGCUGCCCAAAAUCUUCCUGCUCCAGACUGCAGAAAUCUGCCAGGAAAGCUUUUGAAAUGGCAAGAGCCAGUCUGCAUGUUCUGGAGCAGACUGUGUACCGGGGACCACGGCACAGCCCUGAGCAAAAACGUCAGCAGAGCGGAGCGACUGUCGUCCCCAACGCCAACAGACGGACUCCAUCGGCCUGCCAGGGCGGCAGCGGAUGACGCAACAUUAAUGGGCAGAUCGUGGGGAUUGUCAGCUGAGGAUGUAGGGUUUGUUUAUUGUUCUCCCCCAGCGACAGGAGCUGACUGUGAGACGGAUUUUCCUAUAGCAUUCUGCGUCUUCGGCGUUUUGGCAAGAGUGAGAGUGUUUCCUAAAAAAAAAAAAAUGGAAUAAGAGGCCUCAGGCUUAGUAACAGCGUUUAUGAGAAUAAUAAAUGCUCAGCCUUGUCAA